rnacentral:rRNA from 1 species
CGCGGCCUAUCAGCUUGUUGGUGGGGUAAUGGCCUACCAAGGCUUCGACGGGUAGCCGGCCUGAGAGGGUGACCGGCCACACUGGGACUGAGACACGGCCCAGACUCCUACGGGAGGCAGCAGUGGGGAAUAUUGGACAAUGGGCGGAAGCCUGAUCCAGCAACGCCGCGUGAGGGAUGACGGCCUUCGGGUUGUAAACCUCUUUCAGUAGGGAAGAAGCGAAAGUGACGGUACCUGCAGAAGAAGCGCCGGCUAACUACGUGCCAGCAGCCGCGGUAAUACGUAGGGCGCAAGCGUUAUCCGGGAUUAUUGGGCGUAAAGAGCUCGUAGGCGGUUUGUCGCGUCUGCCGUGAAAGUCCGGGGCUCAACUCCGGAUCUGCGGUGGGUACGGGCAGACUAGAGUGAUGUAGGGGAGACUGGAAUUCCUGGUGUAGCGGUGAAAUGCGCAGAUAUCAGGAGGAACACCGAUGGCGAAGGCAGGUCUCUGGGCAUUAACUGACGCUGAGGAGCGAAAGCAUGGGGAGCGAACAGGAUUAGAUACCCUGGUAGUCCAUGCCGUAAACGUUGGGCACUAGGUGUGGGGGACAUUCCACGUUUUCCGCGCCGUAGCUAACGCAUUAAGUGCCCCGCCUGGGGAGUACGG